CUCCGCCCCGUCCCGCACGGCCGUACACCGCUCCCUCGGGAGCGCGCGGCGCUGGGACCGCAGCCCGCGGUCCUUAAUAAACAGCCGAGCGACGGUGCGGAACGUGCUGCGUUCUUCUGGAGCGCGUUCCCGUCUCCUGACGCGCUCGGACGCCGAGGCGAUCCGCGGCCGAGGAGAGUCCCGUCGGUAGCGGACGUUGUAUGGUUCGGCCGUGCCGUCCCGGCUGAGCCGAGCGGGGCGGUGUCACUGCGGCCUCCCCCGGGGCUGCUGCCCAUGCACCCAAACGUGCUCGCAGUGACCUCGCGAAGGAGUCCUGAAGUGUGCGGGCAGGAAGAGGGCAACUGGGAAAUCGUGAGAGCCCUUACGGCUGCUGGGUGCCUCAGGGCGGCGUUGGGAAGAACGCGGCGUGAGUUUUCUUCCAGGGACAGCUGUCUCUGCAUCCAUAGAGCAAGGUGGGAAGAAAAUGGUGUUGCAAACACGGAUGCACAGAGCUUUGGUGGAGAUGGAGAUCCUUGAAUGGCCCUUGUUAGCAGAGGAGGAGCUUCCCUUGACCUUCCCACUCACUGACAGGACUCCAAGGAGAAGCGGGCAGGUGACGGUCACACCUGGACCACGCAAGCAAGAAAUGCACCUCACGUCAGCCCCUGACAUGGAAGCACUCAAUGAAGAAUUCCCCAUUGUUGGGAUUCUCCCUUCCCCUCCUUGAAGCGCCCAGCUCGAACCCCAGGACUGGGCUCAUCGUGCUGGAGGUGCGCUGGGUUCUCACCACAUGUCCCAUCCUGCCUUGUCUCCUCCAUGCAGAGCUUCUGCAGGGCAAGGAAAGCUCCCGGAGUCUUCUGGAUAAGUUGGGAGGGUUCAUCCAUUCAUUAGUGAAAGCUGGACGGAGCUGUCUGAAGGUCUGGAUGUGCAGCAAGGAAGAUAAGCAGAUUUGUUCACACAAUGGAUUCUGAGCUAUCUGAGUGAAAAGGGCAGGAUGUCCUCACUGAGAAAUGCAAUUUAGGAGCCCGACAGCUUGAAAACAGCUGGAAGGGUUUGGGACUUCCUGGGGAGAAAAAAAUCACCUUUGGCUCAAUGAGACGGGGAGGAUUUCAAGCCCACAGUGGAAGUUUUUGGAGAAGGUUGGGACUAAUGAGAAUGGAGGAUUACAGCUUCAACUGUUUUGCAAUCGUUGGCCUCGGUUCUUCAGACACUUUCACACAUGCUUAACUUUAUAUGUGUGGUUAGCUUUGCUGACCUGAAUGGGAUUAUUUACACGUGGUAGAUCUGAGCACAUGCGUAAAUGUUGACAGAGUGGCGUUCAGGGCGUAGCGUUUGUCACCAGAAAGGACACCGUGUCAAGGUCCUGACAUCCCACGGAGAUCCUCCCUGCUGGAAACAAACCCAAAAGCCGGGAAAUCCAGAUUCCUGAGUCCAGCUUAAAUCUGCUCUCAUGUGAAUGGGAUCUUUUGUUGUGCCACGUCAGGGCGCCGUGCCACCGAAUUGAUCUGGCAGCUGUUAAAACACUCACCUUUGUGCGUUCUGACUCUAUAGGAAGAUGCUGCGUGCCUGUAUGUGAAGGAUGCCAGGGCUGGGGGCUGGGAAAGGACACCUGGCCACUGGUGGGGUGUGAGGGGUUCCCUCCCUGGUGGUUCCCCUCCCUGAUAGAAGCAGAGCAUCACAAGUGUUUCCUGGAGCACAGGAGCACGUUCUACCUGCUGUGAUGUGAUCUGCUGAGAGCCUCCGAAACGCCCAUAAAUCACCUCUGCAAGCUGCGCCUCCAACAUUUAUCAGCUUGUGUCUGUCUGCAAGCCAAAGUGCCAUUAGGCUGACUCAUAUUUUGGCAUUUUGUGUUUGUAUACAACAGGACCAUGUUUGCAAGCAAUGGGGAAAAAAAAAAGAAAACACAAGGAAACCCUUCUUGGGCAGCACUGCGAUCCCUGCGGC
rnacentral:lncRNA from 1 species